rnacentral:rRNA from 1 species
AGAGUUUGAUCCUGGCUCAGGACGAACGCUGGCGGCGUGCUUAACACAUGCAAGUCGAACGGAAAGGCCCUUCGGGGUACUCGAGUGGCGAACGGGUGAGUAACACGUGAGCAACCUGCCUUGGCUCUGGGAUAGCUCCGGGAAACCGGAAUUAAUACCGGAUAUGACCUCGGUUGACAUCUUCUGAGGUGGAAAGUUUU